UUGAUCCUGGCUCAGGAUGAACGCUAGCGGCAGGCCUAACACAUGCAAGUCGAGCGGUAGAGAGGCCUUCGGGUUUCUUGAGAGCGGCGCACGGGUGCGUAACGCGUAUGCAACCUACCCUUUACAGGGGAAUAGCCCGUCGAAAGGCGGAUUAAUGCCCCAUGGACCUUUAGGAAGGCAUCUUCGUGAAGGUAAAGAUUCAUCGGUAAGGGAUGGGCAUGCGUGCCAUUAGCUGGAUGGUGGGGUAACGGCCCACCAUGGCGACGAUGGCUAGGGGUUCUGAGAGGAAGGCCCCCCACACUGGGACUGAGACACGGCCCAGACUCCUACGGGAGGCAGCAGUGAGGAAUAUUGGUCAAUGGGCGAAAGCCUGAACCAGCCAUGCCGCGUGCGGGAAGAAGGCGCUACGCGUCGUAAACCGCUUUUGUCCGGGGGUAACCGUGGGGACGUGUCCCCACCUGCAAGUACCGGACGAAUAAGGGUCGGCUAACUCCGUGCCAGCAGCCGCGGUAAUACGGAGGACCCGAGCGUUAUCCGGAUUCAUUGGGUUUAAAGGGUGCGUAGGCGGCCCGGUAAGUCAGCGGUGAAAGGCCCGCGCUCCACGCGGGAGCUGCCGUUGAUACUGUCGGGCUAGAAUCUUAGCGAGGCGGGCGGAAUGCGCGGUGUAGCGGUGAAAUGCAUAGAUAUCGCGCAGAACGCCGAUUGGGGAGCCAGCUCGCCAGCUGAGUAUUGACGCUGAGGCACGAAAGCGUGGGGAUCGAACAGGAUUAGAUACCCUGGUAGUC
rnacentral:rRNA from 1 species